UCCAACUCGGUGAUCAGGACUGAACACAGACGAGUCACCAUGGAGUUUGGACUGAGCUGCGUUUUCCUUCUUGCUGUAUUAAAAGGUGUCCAGUGUGAGGUGCAGCUGGUGGAGUCCGGGGGAGGCUUGGUGAAGCCUGGGGGGUCUCUGAGACUCACCUGUGUCGCCUCUGGAUUCACCUUUGAUAACUAUGUCAUGCACUGGGUCCGCCAGGCUCCAGGGAAGGGACUGGAGUGGGUCUCAGCCAUUAGCGGGAGUGGUGGUAGCACAUACUACGCAGACUCCGUGAAGGGCCGAUUCACCAUCUCCAGGGAAAACGCCAAGAACACACUGUAUCUGCAAACUGAAAAUGCGAGAACUGAGGACACGGCCACGUAUUACUGUGCGAGAGACACAGUGAGGGGACGUCAGUGGGAGCCCAGACAAGAACCUCCCUACAGGGACACACGGGACCACCAGGGGGCGCUCAGGACCCACCAAGUUCAAGGCUGA